CUUCCCUCAACCAUCCUUAUCUUGGGGUUGCGCUACUGUUCAAUGAACGUUUAGUGAGGACAGUACUGCUAACACCUACACAACACAUUGGCAUCCUUGGGGCUUGCUCCCCACAUGAGGUGCAAUUUUUGGAACCUUCUUUUAAAUAUACCUCCCCACAACGGGGUACAAACCUACGAGACAAUGUUAAUGCAUAGCGUUUCCUUGUUUUGUGCUGCGGUCUCACAUCAACUCUUCAAGAUAGCCCAAUUUUUCUAGUGGAAUUGUUCUGUAGGAAAGUAGGAGGGACUGCUAUGUACACAACCUUGAAAGCUGGACUGUUGUAUCCUGCCCAGAGCCAAAGAGAUGCUGGCAAAACAUUUUCCAUUCCAAUGGGUUUCCAUUCGCACAACUCUCGUUUACAGACUAAAGACUGAUGCAACCCAAUUGUAAGAAUAGGACUGUCUCGCAAGCAGGUUCUAAAAUUGGGUGAUCAAUUCAACCAGCAAUUAAACUCAUUUGUAGGAAAUAAGUACCACCUAACUAUAUACAAAAUCCAUAGGGAGGAAAUAUGAAACUCAAAACAGAAGUAGCAGGAUUACUUCCACUGACAAAUCCUGCGUUACCAAUUCAGUAUAGCAAAGUGUGAAACCUGCAAGGUUCUAAAUAUAAAAGAAACUGAAUUCCCCAACACACACACACCUGGUUCCUGGGUUUAGACAAAUGAGAAACAGUUAAGCCCUUCAAGAUCUUUUUAUCUAUGUCAUGUCGGUAUUUAAAAUUAGAUAAGAGGUCAAACUAUUGCAGAGUAUUCUUUCACAGGGAGAAGGGGGUGGGGGGAAAAUCCAGUGCUGUUAGAAUGGCAUUUCACCAACCGGCCCUUUGCCAGUAUUGUCAGAUCAUUAGCAGAGCUGUCCCAGAAUUUAUAGGUAUAAAAAUGUUGGUUGGCUUGGAAAACAUUGCUGGAUUUUACUUCAAGGAACUUUACUCUUCAAAAUGGCUGCCUUGACUUGGCUAGUCAAGAACCACAGCAUAAACUACAUUACAAAAAGGAAAUGUCUGACAGAAACAAAGACAGAAUUGUCUUAAUCUGAACCAGACCCUGGGUCGGUCUAGUGCAGUGAUGGCUAGCCUUUUCUGCACAGAGAGCCAAAAGUGCGCAAAAGUGCACGUGUGCACACCCAUAAUGCAAUGCAUUUGCAACCCCCCCGUGCGCCCCUCUCUGUGCAUGCCCCUCCUCCUGUGCAUGCGCGUGCCCUCUGCUCACCGUAUGUCCCACCCAAGCUCGCUCGGCCCCUGCACAUGCAUGUGCAACCCACACACGGAGUCCCCGCCCCUGCACAUAUGCAUGUGACCCCAUGCAUUCGGCCCACCCAAGAAUGUGCAUGCAUCUCCCGCAUGCAGUCCGCCCCCGCGCAUGCGCGGCAGAGAUUCGAAAAUCAGCUGGCCAGCGGGAGGCACACGUGCAUGCAUAAAAGAGCUGAGCUGGGGCGAUGGCUCGGGUGCCCACAGAGAGGGCUCUGCAUGCCACCUUUCGCCAUCACAGGAUAGUGUCUAUUACUAUUCAAACUAGGGGCAGGCAAGCUAGUGAUUUUUUAAAGUCUAUCCCCCACAUUUUCCUGCUACUCAUCCUGUUGAUUGGAGUUGAGGGAAGUUAAAAGUUCAAAACAUUUGGAAGGCUCUAGGUUGAUCUACAAGGGUGGUCAGUUUCUCCUCAAAUUGUUCGAAAAAUCUGGAGAUGCUUGGGACUAACAUAGACUUUCAAAUGCAAAGUAGUUGUGCUAGCAUUGAACUAUAUUUCCAUUUAUUGUACCUAAAAAUAUUAGAUGGCGUGUAACAGAAUAUGGAAUGUGUAACAUCACGUCUGAAGUGAAAAUCCCACAGUUUUCACCCACAUGUAUAUUUGUGAUUCUUCCUGUCUUAUUAAUUCUGCUCCCUUACACAUCUCUUUUUUGAAACUCAAACUAACAUGGGAUGUAGGGAAUCUUGCUGAGCUACCUAAGUACUGGUAUUUUAAUAUGCUUCCCUCACUUUAAAUAUAUGUAUGGUUUUAUGAGGCUCAGAAUUUUUCCAAACAAUCACAAAAAUGACCCUCCACAAACCUGGAGAAGCCAUCUGAACACCCUAGAAGAGAACAAUAGAAGAAACUAUUUUAUCCCUCUACUUGUGACAGUGUAAUGCUUUGAUGAACCUAAAUUGCAAAAACACAAAAAAAACAAAACCUCUUUUUGAUAUAAAUAAUAACUUUUUAGUAACGUAAAAGCCAACAGACCCAGUGAACCCCAAAUCACAAAGGCUGAAUUAUUUCCUCCCUCUUGACCAUGGAAAGGAACACCUGGACAACAGCAAUAGCCUUCAGAUGCCACUCUCAUCGGCUUUCCCUAGUAGGCUGGUGGUCAACGAUAAUGGAAUUGUAACUUAAUAUUUAGGUGGUCAAAGUUCCCCACUGCUAAAAUACACCAUCAUCUGAUUUUUGAGAUCGAAAUCUUUUUUUUCAUCCUUCAGGGAAAUAGAGGGAUUGAAUAUAGAUCUCCUGUAAACUGCCUUCUUCCAGUGAAUGCUAGCCUUCCUGCAAUCUCCGAGGAUAAGCAGGAAGGAGAAAAAGUUGCUUUUUGAAUUGUAAUCUUCUGCAAACUUAGUACUUUAUUAAAUACUGCUGCAUGAUUGAUGAUACAAA